AGAGAUCGGAGACCGAGAAUGUGCAAGGAACGGCGAAAUAGCACCAGCAGGGGAAGGGCGGACGGGUCGAGCAGUGGUGGCCUCCCAGUCGAAACUACGCAUACAACACGUACCCCUCGGUGUUCAUUUACUCUCUCUCUCUCUUCG
ensembl:ncRNA F33A8.11 ncRNA